rnacentral:rRNA from 1 species
UGGGCGGGGUGCUAUACUGCAGUCGAGCGGACAGAAGGGAGCUUGCUCCCGGAUGUUAGCGGCGGACGGGUGAGUAACACGUGGGUAACCUGCCUGUAAGACUGGGAUAACUCCGGGAAACCGGAGCUAAUACCGGAUAGUUCCUUGAACCGCAUGGUUCAAGGAUGAAAGACGGUUUCGGCUGUCACUUACAGAUGGACCCGCGGCGCAUUAGCUAGUUGGUGGGGUAAUGGCUCACCAAGGCGACGAUGCGUAGCCGACCUGAGAGGGUGAUCGGCCACACUGGGACUGAGACACGGCCCAGACUCCUACGGGAGGCAGCAGUAGGGAAUCUUCCGCAAUGGACGAAAGUCUGACGGAGCAACGCCGCGUGAGUGAUGAAGGUUUUCGGAUCGUAAAGCUCUGUUGUUAGGGAAGAACAAGUGCGAGAGUAACUGCUCGCACCUUGACGGUACCUAACCAGAAAGCCACGGCUAACUACGUGCCAGCAGCCGCGGUAAUACGUAGGUGGCAAGCGUUGUCCGGAAUUAUUGGGCGUAAAGGGCUCGCAGGCGGUUUCUUAAGUCUGAUGUGAAAGCCCCCGGCUCAACCGGGGGAGGGUCAUUGGAAACUGGGAAACUUGAGUGCAGAAGAGGAGAGUGGAAUUCCACGUGUAGCGGUGAAAUGCGUAGAGAUGUGGAGGAACACCAGUGGCGAAGGCGACUCUCUGGUCUGUAACUGACGCUGAGGAACCGAAAGCGUGGGGAGCGAACAGGAUUAGAUACCCUGGUAGUCCACGCCGUAAACGAUGAGUGCUAAGUGGUUAGGGGGUUUCCCGCCCCUUAGUGCUGCAGCUAACGCAUUAAGCACUCCGGCCUGGGGGAGUACGGUCGCAAGACUGAAACUCAAAGGAAUUGACGGGGGCCCGCACAAGCGGGGGGAACAUGUGGGUUAAUUCCAAGCAACGCGAAGAACCUUACCAGGGCUUGAAUCCUCUGGAAACCCCUGAAGAA